UGCACUAAAAACUCAUGCUAAACAACUACAAGAGCGCAUAAUGACAACCCCCAGGCCCAGAAGAAGGGGUGCUCCACUGGGGAUGACCUGGUUAGAGGUAGCCCAAGAAUUGGUAACUACUGGUCGACAGUUGGGGGUCUCUGAUACAAGUAGUGUUAAGCAAAAAACAGAUAUCAGAAGGGUAGGAGAGAUCCGAAAACCACCUUUGCCAGGUAAUCGUCAGCAAAAUGCGACACCUGGUGAGCGAACAAGGUACAGUUUGUGGGUGGAGGGUAUCGAGGAAGGAAUUCCUCGAGAAGUGAUGGAUAAACUACCCACAACUAAUUUGGAACACUUGAUAAAGCAGUGGGAUAAGAUCAAAGAGCAUGAGUCACCCCCUGGGGGCAACCCUCCCCAGGAAUCCAACACUAUGAUUCCCUCAGCCCCACCAGAAAUCAAUUUAGCCAAUCCCGAGUUGGGAAACGGGACUCACCGCUCCCAGUAAGUGAGCCGGGGAGCGGUCAGUGGGUUUACAUGAGAAGGCUCACAGAAAACAACCAGGGAGAUAUGGUGAUCACUUUUCCUCUUGGCCCUUUUAAAUCUUUGGUUACAUUCGUGGUUGACACGGGUGCACAGGUCUCAGCACUCCAAACUGAAGCUGCUACCCAGUGUGGCAUUAAGCCAGACAAAAAAAAAAUAUGGGUAACUGAUGCCUUUGGCAAAUCCCAACCCCAAUACACUGCUCGAGUAAAAUGCUGGUUACCGGGAGAUGAGACAACCACAGAAACUAUCAUGAUUGUGGGACCACUACCAGCUAACAUCCUGGGGUUAGAUCUGUUAAAAGGGAGGGCCUGGACAGAUGCCAGAGGGAGAGAAUGGGUGUUUGGUCUCCCAUCCCUCUCUGUCUGUCUGAGUGUAUUUCUCUUCU